AAUAUUGGACAAUGGGGGGAACCCUGAUCCAGCCAUGCCGCGUGUGUGAAGAAGGUCUNCGGAUUNUNAAGCACUUUAAGUUGGGNGGAAGAGUUGUAGGCUAAUACCUUGCAAUUUUGACGUUACCAACAGAAUAAGCACCGGCGAACGUCGUGCCAGCAGCCUCGGUAAUACGAAGGGUGCAAGCGUUAAUCGGAAUUACUGGGCGUAAAGCGCGCGUAGGUGGUUCGUUAAGUUCGAACUGAACGCCCCGGGCUUAACCUGGGAAUUGCUUUCACAACUGACGAGUUAGAGUACGGUAGAGGCUAGUGGAAUUUCCUGUGUAGCGGUGAAAUGCGUAGAUAUAGGAAGGAACAUCAGUGGCGAAGGCGACUACCUGGACUGAUACUGACACUGAGGAGCGAAAGCGUGGGUAGCAAACA
rnacentral:rRNA from 1 species